rnacentral:rRNA from 1 species
AAGACACCGGCGCACUGCUCAGUAAUACUCGGAUAAUCUACCCCCAGGUGGGGGAUAACCUCGGGAAACUGAGGCUAAUACCCCAUAGUUGCCAUAUGCUGGAAUGCUUUGGCGAUGAAAGAAUUUCGCCUGAGGAUGAGUCUGUGGUCUAUCAGGUAGUAUGUGGUGUAAUGGACCACAUAGCCUAAGACGGAUACGGGCCUUGAAAGAGGGAGCCCGGAGAUGGACUCUGAGACACUAGUCCAGGCCCUACGGGGCGCAGCAGGCGCGAAAACUGUACAAUGCGCGAAAGCGCGGUACGGGGAGCCUGAGUGCCUUAACAUUUGUUAAGGCUUUUCACAAGCCUAAAAAGCUUGUGGAAUAAGAACUGGGUAAGACGGGUGCCAGCCGCCGCGGUAACACCCGCGGUUCGAGUGGUAGUCACUUUUAUUGAGCCUAAAGCGUUCGUAGCCGGAUUCGUAAAUCUCUAGGAAAAUCCUUCUGCCCAACAGAAGAAAUUCUGGAGAGACUGCGAAUCUAGGGACCGGGUGAGGUUGAAUGUACUUCUGGGGUAGGGGUAAAAUCCUGUAAUCCUGGAAGGACGACCGGUGGCGAAGGCGUUCAACUAGAACGGAUCCGACGGUGAGGAAC